rnacentral:rRNA from 1 species
ACGUAGGCAGCGAGCGUUGUUCGGAGUUACUGGGCGUAAAGAGUGCGUAGGCGGUGCUCUAAGUUUGGUGUGAAAUCUCCCGGCUUAACUGGGAGGGUGCGCCGAAAACUGGAGUGCUUGAGUGUGGGAGAGGUAAGCGGAAUUCCUGGUGUAGCGGUGAAAUGCGUAGAUAUCAGGAGGAACACCUGUGGUGUAGACAGCUUACUGGACCAUGACUGACGCUGAGGCACGAAAGCGUGGGGAGCAAACAGGA